ACGAACGCUGGCGGCGUGCCUAAUACAUGCAAGUCGAGCGGACUGAUUAAGAGCUUGCUCUUAUGACGUUAGCGGCGGACGGGUGAGUAACACGUGGGCAACCUGCCCUGUAGAUCGGGAUAACACCGAGAAAUCGGUGCUAAUACCGGGUAAUAUCUGAGAUCACAUGAUCUUAGGUUAAAAGAUGGCUCCGGCUAUCACUACAGGAUGGGCCCGCGGCGCAUUAGCUAGUUGGUAAGGUAAUGGCUUACCAAGGCGACGAUGCGUAGCCGACCUGAGAGGGUGAUCGGCCACACUGGGACUGAGACACGGCCCAGACUCCUACGGGAGGCAGCAGUAGGGAAUCUUCCGCAAUGGACGAAAGUCUGACGGAGCAACGCCGCGUGAGUGAUGAAGGGUUUCGGCUCGUAAAGCUCUGUUGUUAGGGAAGAAACAGUACCGAACGAACUAGGUCGGUACCUUGACGGUACCUAACCAGAAAGCCACGGCUAACUACGU
rnacentral:rRNA from 1 species